rnacentral:rRNA from 1 species
CUGGCGGCGUGCCUAACACAUGCAAGUCGAACGAGAAAGCGGGGGCAACUCCGCGAGUAAAGUGGCGACCGGGUGAGUAGCACGUGACUAACCUGCCCUCGAGUGGGGAAUAACCCCGGGAAACCGGGGCUAAUACCGCAUAAUGUCCUUGAUACGAAGUGUUGAGGAUCAAAGGAGCAAUUCGCUUGAGGAGGGGGUCGCGGCCGAUUAGCUAGUUGGCGGGGUAACGGCCCACCAAGGCUCAGAUCGGUAGCCGGCCUGAGAGGGCGCACGGCCACACUGGAACUGAAACACGGUCCAGACUCCUACGGGAGGCAGCAGUGGGGAAUUUUGCGCAAUGGGGGAAACCCUGACGCAGCAACGCCGCGUGGAGGAUGAAGUCCCUUGGGACGUAAACUCCUUUCGACCGGGAAGAUAAUGACGGUACCGGAAGAAGAAGCACCGGCUAACUCUGUGCCAGCAGCCGCGGUAAUACAGAGGGUGCGAGCGUUGUUCGGAAUUAUUGGGCGUAAAGGGCGCGUANGCGGUGCGGUAAGUCACCUGUGAAAUCUCCUGGCUCAACUGGGAGCUUGCAGGCGAAACUGCCGUGCUGGAGUGUGGGAAANGUGCGUGGAA